GACGAACGCUGGCGGCGUGCUUAACACAUUCAAGUCGACCGGAAAGGCCCUGCUUUUGUGGGGUGCUCGAGUGGCGAACGGGUGAGUAACCCGUGAGUAACCUGCCCUUGACUUUGGGAUAACUUCAGGAAACUGGGGCUAAUACCGGAUAGGAGCUCCUGCUGCAUGGUGGGGGUUGGACAGUUUCGGCGGCUGGGGAUGGACUCGCGGCUUAUCAGCUUGUUGGUGGGGUAGUGGCUUUCCAAGGCUUUGACGGGUAGCCGGCCGGAGUGGGUGACCGGCGACAUUGGGACUAGGAUACGGCCCAGACUGCUGCGGGAGGCAGCAGUGGGGAAUAUUGCACCAUGGGCGGAAGCCUGAUGCAGCAACGCCGCGUGCGGGAUGACGGCCUUCGGGUUGUAAACCGCUUUCGCCUGUGACGAAGCGUGAGUGACGGUAAUGGGUAAAGAAGCACCGGCUAACUACGUG
rnacentral:rRNA from 1 species